rnacentral:rRNA from 1 species
CGGACGUGGGGAACCUGCCCUAUACAGGGGGAUAACAAGCUGGAAACGACUGCUAAUACCGCAUAAAGCGCACAGAAUCGCAUGAUUCAGUGUGAAAAGCCCUGGCAGUAUAGGAUGGUCCCGCGUCUGAUUAGCUGGUUGGUGAGGUAACGGCUCACCAAGGCGACGAUCAGUAGCCGGCUUGAGAGAGUGAACGGCCACAUUGGGACUGAGACACGGCCCAA